AAACCAACAGGGCUUCCAUUAGUUCGAGAGAGAUGCGGCAAGAGCUGAAAUGGCAUAUCCAAAAGCGGAGGAAAAGAAACCAACAGGGAUUGCCUCAGUAACGGCGAGUGAAGCGGCAAAAGCUCAAAUUUGAAAUCCCCCCGGGGAAUUGUAAUUUGAAGAUUGUGUCUUGGAGACGACCGUGUCUAUGUUCCUUGGAACAGGACGUCACAGAGGGUGAGAAUCCCGUGCGGCACGGCCACCGUCCUCCUUAUAAGACACUCUCGACGAGUCGAGUUGUUUGGGAAUGCAGCUCAAAGUGGGUGGUAAAUUCCAUCUAAAGCUAAAUACAGGCGAGAGACCGAUAGCGAACAAGUACAGUGAUGGAAAGAUGAAAAGCACUUUGAAAAGAGAGUGAAACAGUACGUGAAAUUGUUGAAAGGGAAGGGCAUGCCGUCAGAUUGUCAGUGUGGGUAAGAAGCGGGGUACAAAGACUGCGGAACGUGGCCUUCGGGUGUUAUAGCCGCCAGUUCNUCCCCCGUCUCUUUCCGAGGCCUGCUUUGAGGACACCGACGUAAUGACGGUACGCCGC
rnacentral:rRNA from 1 species